UACGAAGGGGGCUAGCGUUGCUCGGAAUCACUGGGCGUAAAGGGUGCGUAGGCGGGUCUUUAAGUCAGGGGUGAAAUCCUGGAGCUCAACUCCAGAACUGCCUUUGAUACUGAAGAUCUUGAGUUCGGGAGAGGUGAGUGGAACUGCGAGUGUAGAGGUGAAAUUCGUAGAUAUUCGCAAGAACACCCGUGGCGAAGGCGGUGUGCUGGGUUGCAACUGACGCUGAGAUGCGAAAGUGUGGGUAGCAAACGGG
rnacentral:rRNA from 1 species